UACGUAGGGCGCGAGCGUUAAUCGGAAUUACUGGGCGUAAAGCGUGCGCAGGCGGCUCUUUAAGUCAGAUGUGAAAGCCCCGGGCUUAACCUGGGAACUGCGUUUGAAACUGGAGGGCUUGAGUGUGGCAGAGGGAGGUGGAAUUCCACGUGUAGCAGUGAAAUGCGUAGGGAGGUGGAGGAACACCAAUGGCGAAGGCAGCCUCCUGGGCCAACACUGACGCUCAUGAACGACAGCGUGGGGAGCAAACAGG
rnacentral:rRNA from 1 species